rnacentral:rRNA from 1 species
AUGCCGACAAACAUUUCAAAAGGCAAUAAAAAAGCCAUUAAAUUAACUAAACAAACGGAUAUAAGGGGAGUAAAAGUAAAAUUUGCGGAUUGUCUCAGAGGAAAAGAAAUUGCACGUGCCGAAUCCAUUAAAAAGGGCAAACUUCCUCUCCAAACAAUUCACGCUAAAAUUGAUUAUUGCUGCUAUCCAAUUCAAACUAUCUAUGGAGUAUUUUUUUUAGAGAAAAGGCACAAAGGCCCGACUUCAAAUUAA